rnacentral:rRNA from 1 species
AAUGUGGGAAACCACGAGGCGGGCAUUCCGAGUGCCAAGGCAUUGCUUUGGCUGUUCUUUCGCCUAAAAAGCGAGAGAAGUAAGGGCCGGGUAAGACGGGUGCCAGCCGCCGCGGUAAUACAA